AUGUCAGAUCAGGACUAUGAACCAAAUUCUGUUUCAGAAAGUUCUGAAGGGAGCAUAGUGUCAGAAAAUGAACGUCCUAAACAACUCUCAAAGACUACUGAAGUGUCCUGCUUUAAAUCUACUGCAGAAAUUGAAAAUGACAGAACAUGCGAAGACAUGAUGGGAAAAGAUUUACCAAAAAAAAAUGAUCCAGUCUACCCAGCACAGCUUGAAAAGUCUUGUAAUAAAGCCAAGCAAGUACAAGUAUCGGAAGUUCACAAUGAAGUAAGCUUUGGUAAUGCUGAAGACGUGUCUGUUGAGGAUAUCACCGGAACUGGAGAAGAUCUAUGUAUGCAAUCUUCAAAUAUAUCUUCUACAGUAAGCAAGAAAAAUUACUGCUUCAUUUGUGAAAAACCACAAUCAAAAUUUACACGGCACUUAAAAACCCAUGAAAAAUCAAAUGUUAAGGUUGCUCAGGCUUUGGCACUGCCCAAACACUCCAAAGAACGUCAAAGACUUCUGAACAAACUACGGAACAAAGGGAACUACAAGCACAAUGCGAAUGUUUUAGCGACUGGGUCUGGACUGUUAAAACUCAGACGUAUAGCAAAGAAAACAUAUAAUUCAAAAGAUUAUGUGUCUUGUAUGUAUUGUCAUGCAAUGUUUCUCCGGAGGGAUCUCUGGCAACAUGUUCGAAAUUGUCUUUUCAAACCUGUGGAAGAUCAGGCAGAGUCAGGAAGAACUAGGGUCCUGUCUUUAGCAACAAUGUCUAAUACAGGGCUCUGUCAACAAAUAUCACAAGGUGUUUGGAAGCUGUUAACUGUGAUAAAAGACGAUGACAUCUCUGCUGCUGUGAGGAGUGACUUCUGCAUUCUUCAGCUUGCCCAGUCUUUUUUUAAUAGACAUGGACAGGAUACCACCAAACAUGACUACAUUCGACAGAAGCUCAGAGAAGUUGGAAGACUUCUGCUGAUUCUGAGAAAAGAAUUUUCAGUGCAGACUUUCGAAGAUGCUGUAAGACCUGCAAAGUUUAAUGUGGUUGUUCAGGCUGUUAAGAUGGUAGCUGGGUUUAAUGAUGAAAAUCAUUCUUACCAGAUUCCAAGCCUUGCCCUUAAAUUGGGCCACUCACUUAAUAAAAUAUGUGAAAUCAUACAUUGCAGAGCACUAAUGGCAGAAGACAGUGAGAGAAUAAAGUCAACCCAGGCAUUCAAAAAGCUGUGUGAAGCAAAGUGGCCCGAAUUUGUUUCUCAUGCAGCUUUGACCACCUUGAAUGAGGGGCGCUUUAAUAAGCCAUCCACCCUUCCUUUCACAGAGGAUGUACAACGUCUUCACCAGCAUCUCGAAAAGGUUGCUGAUUUAGCCUCUGAGAACUUGAAACGGAUGCCAUCAGCACAAUUCUAUGGGGAACUUUGCAGAGCAACACUAGCCAAAAUAAUACUUUUUAAUCGAAGACGUGGAGGAGAGGUUGCAAAGAUGCAACUAAAAGGUUUUCUAGAUAGAGACACAUCUGCCCUACAUAAAGAUGUUGCUGUAGGCUUAACAAAGUUUGAACAAAAACUUUGUGCACAUUUCAGUCGGGUGGAAAUUAAAGGUAAAAGGGGACGAAAAGUAGCAGUUUUGCUAUCGCCAGACAUAGUCGAUGCCUUAACGCACCUCAUAAGCAGAAGAAGAGAGUGUGGAGUCCCAGAAGGAAAUGUAUUUCUGUUUGCAAGGCCUAGCUGUUUGACUCCAUAUUGAGGGCAAGACUGUCUGAGAAUUUAUGCAAAUGAAUGUGGUGCACAGAAUUCUGAACUCCUCCGCUCAACGCAGUUACGCAAACAUAUUGCAACUUUGUCGCAGGUCUUAAACCUUAAAAACCAUGAGUUGGACCAAGUGGCUGACUUUUUGGGCCAUGAUAUUCGCGUCCACAGAGGGUAUUACAGACUUCCGGAGGCUACAACACAGCUGGCCAAAAUAUCUAAACUACUACUUGCCAUGGAGAAAGGUUCACUUACAAAUAUUCAGGGUAAAUCACUGAAGGAGAUUGAAAUUGAAGAUAAGUUAGACUUUACUGAUUCUGAGCAGAGUGAAGACAGUGAUGCUGAGAUGCCACAAACCCAAACAGAAACAGAUAUUGACUCCGCUUUAGAAGGCCCAUCUGAAGAUUGUACAAAGGACAAAAAGAACAAGAAGAGGAACAAGCAUGAACAACCAGGAGUGAAGAAGGCUAGGCAAACUGUUAAGAAAUCUCUAGGCACCUCCGAUGAUAUUGACUCUGCCUUAGAAGGAUCGUCUCAAGUGAUACUCGAAAACUCUGCUGAGAGGGUGGAUGCAAGAAGGCAACAGAAACGUAUAUGGUCUCCAACAGAAGUCUCUGCAGUAAUGAGACAUUUCCGGCACCACAUUGCAAGGGGCAAACUUGCUACAAAAAUUGAAUGCCAGCAGUGCAAAAAUGCUGAGCAUCCUGCAUUGGCUAGUCGCUCUGUUCAAAACAUACGAGAUUUUGUGAGGAAUCGAGGCUUAACACUUAAAAAGAAACAGUCACAAAAUAAUGAAUACGUUUUAUUUUUGUAGUUUUACUUUUGGUUAUCCAAAAAUAUGUUCCUAUGCUCUUCAGUAUUUUUUUAUAGGAUUUGUUAUGCAUUAUCUGCUUUCCAAAAAAAUAGUAUGUGGUCACAUAAAAGUAUUUUCUGAUCAGUAUUUUUUUAUACAAUUUGUUAUGCAUUAUCUGCUUUCCAAAAAAAUAGUAUGUGGUCACAUAAAAGUAUUUUCUGUUCAGUAUUUUUUUAUACAAUUUGUUAUGCAUUAUCUGCUUUCCAAAAAAAUUGUAUGUGGUCACAUAAGUAUUUUCUGAUCAGUAUUUUUUUUUAUAGGAUUUGUUAUGCAUUAUCUGCUUUCCAAAAAAAUAGUAUGUGGUCACAUAAAAGUAUUUUGUGUUCAGUAUUUUUUAUAGGAUUUUUUAUACAUUAUUUGCUUUCCAAAAAAAUAGUAUGUGGUCACAUAAAAGUAUUUUCUGUUCAGUAUUUUUUAUAGGAUUUUUUAUACAUUAUCUGCUUUCCAAAAAAAUAGUAUGUGGUCACAUAAAAGGAUUUUCUGUUCAGAAUUUGUUAUACAUUAUCUGCUUUCCAAAAAAUGUGGUCACAUAAAAGCAUUUUCUGUAAUGUUGCUUUAAAAAAAUUACUAAAAUUUUCUUCUUGUUAAGAGAAACAGACAAACAGUUGCAUGUUUUCCUUGCUACACAAACAUAUAAUGGAUAUUUCUUAAUAUACAGUGCUGUGUACAA